CAGGCAUGUAAGAGUUUCAGUCUGGCUGUAACCGUGAGUGAGGACGGUUGCUGACUUCUUCUCCUCCGUCGCCUCAUUAGAGAUCCGUCACCUCCAGACAACAACAACAACAAGAACAACAACAACAACACAACAAAUUAGUUUGUAGGCUUACUCCCCGAGUGAGCGAAAAUAACUCGCAGUUGCUGGAAACGUGAAAAUCACUGCCACGAAGAUAAUUGCCUUAUAAUUAAAACUAUACAAAACUUAUGGAGGCAUAAGAAGGAGCGAAGAUAUAAUUCUCAAGACGUCUAUCAAGCGAGGAAAGAUUGGAAAAGAAAAAUUCAUUCUUAAGAAGUGAGGAAACUUUGAAGGUAAAACGGAACAAGAAGAAGGAAGGAGAGGCAUAUAGCAAUGUCUCACCUGCCGGGUUACGCAGGACACGUCGUGGGCCUACAAGACGACUGCGGCCGAAGGUCCAGCGCCCUGGCCUAUCUCAACGCCCUGAGGCCACCACCCACGCCCACGCCAAGGAUGUGCGUACGUCUGGACGACCUGCUUGCUCUCAAAUCCUACGAGGCGGACGUCAUCUCCUAUAAACAAGGACUCUCCCUACCCAUCCUGAGGAGCAGAGUCGAGCACCAUCCUACGUCAACGAACCUCCUCUUGAUGACCGUCCAGACGCGAAGGAACCUGUUGAAUUCCUACGCAGGACCCCAGGAAAGGUGGCUGUCCUAACCUAUCCCAAGUGGGGGAUAGAACAGACUUUGCUUACAGCAACACCGCAGGUGGGUAUCGCUUGCAGUGUGCAUUGUGUGGCACACUGUAUAGAUGGUGCUGGAGGUUUCUUUACUCCCUACUUUUCAUCUGUUCCCUUUGGACUCCUUAUCCGUAGCUGAUCAACUUCUUUAACUUGAACUUGUUGCAGUUUUUAUAUUUAUUCAAGAAUAGUCUAAAUAUGGGGCGCAGAGGCCUAGUUAAACUAUUUUAUACUAAUAUUAAUAAAGUCGAGGUCAAGAGGAAGGGGCAGGGCAUAGCAAUAAAGUUACAAAGGAGAGAGAGAGAGAGAGAGAGAGAGAGAGAGAGAGAGAGACUGACCGUACUUAUGUUUUGUGAUGCAUCAGUUUUGCAACAAGUAACACAAUGAUAUGAUGAUGCUGAAUAUCACCUUCAUAUCUCUUCUACAACAGGUUUUCUAAAUAAAGGUUUCACCUAUCUACCUUAAUUCAGUCUCACGCUUUCAUUCCUUUUACUGUACCUCCGCUCAUAUUCUCUUUCUUCCACCUUCCUUUUAAAGCCCUGAAUGACCUCAUAGGUCCUAGCGCUUGGCCUUUAGCUUACAUUUUUUUUUAUUCCAGUUCCAGUUUGUUACCCCGAAAUAAAAAAAAAAAUUAUAAUGAAAGAUAAUGAGUCACUGUGCUCAUUGUAAUAAAACACACUGCAAAGAAUAUUGCAGUGUAGAAAUACGUGACCAGCAAAUUCAUGAUGUAGAUAAUUCUGGUGUAGAUGAAAAUGUACUAUAUUGUUAUUCUUAGAUUGAUAAAUAAAUUUUAA